rnacentral:sRNA from 1 species
GUUUUUUUUAUAGUUUUGUAU